CAUCCCCACCGUUAUCUUCUGCAUCCUCCUCCUCGUCAGAAGCUAAUCCUAGGUUCCGUAGACGAAGCACGAUCUUCUCAAUCGCGCUUUGUCCUCUAUCCUUCUCCACAUACCUGAGUUUCGCCUCCGCCGAAGGGAUUUCACCUCCGCCGUUAUGUUCGUUCGAUUUCUUCGCGGCGGAUGACAACGGAGGCCACUUAUCGAUCCAAGGAGGAUUAGGUUUAGAAUUCCGGUGAUCCAAUCGCCGGUUGUUACGGCUCCCGUUGUUGCUGCUACGCUCGCUCGUGCGGAGCGAAGAGAAUGGCCGAAGAACGCGACGCGAGGGCUUCGCCGCGGAGAGUGAAUCAAAUAGCAACGCGUGAAGCGAAGGAGAAGAAUGGUAGCGUGAGGUCGAAGUCAAAGGAAGAGAGCUUCUCAGUGGCAUUUCUGUAAAUUUAGUCGCAACCAAAGCCAUUCAACUGUCUUCACUCUUCUUCACCAUCCCCGUUUGGAUAGACCAUGUGGAUAAGAUUUUUCUACUUCUUCUUCUCGGGUCUCGAAAUGGGCUUAUUUAAUGGGCCUGUAUAAAAGCCCGUUAUACUGUAAACUAUAAAUAAAACUAAAAAACUACGUGGCGGAAGAAAAUUUAAGCAAUCCGGCUAGGGUAAAUCCGGUUUCGUUGUCCUAUCGAGUCACACCGGCAUUGCGUGAUUCGCCGGGAAAUUUUGGCGAGAGAAACUCCGAUCGAUUUCACCAAGUUCCGUUUUUUCUUUCUUAAUUCCUAUCUUCGCGCUUGUGUUCGUGAAACGAAAGAGACAACUUUCGAUGGGUCGACCUCCUAGUAAUGGCAGUCCAGCGUUCCGAUUCAACCUCGCCGAGGUAAUUGAAUCUUUGAUGGAUGUUCUCUUUGCUGUUGCAUGAAGGAGGUUUUCGAUGUUCCUGUGUUGAGACUAGUUUCUGGGUAAUGUUUGGUUUGUUGCUUAGGUUUAGGGUUCGUGAUAGGGUUUUUACUCGAUCAGUUCCAACUUUCCUUUUUGUGAAAGAUCUGUAAUUUAUAUCUGUAUGUGCCUUUUGGGGUUUAGAUUCAUAAGUUUCAUGAUAGGGUUUACUCGAUCUGAUCAUUUCGACUUUCCUUUUGUGAAAGUUUUGUAAUUACUACCAGCAUGUGCCUUUUGGGGUUUAGAUUCAUAAGUGGUUCUGUCUGUUGUGUUUUGUAAGUUCUUUGAAGAAGUUUUUGUUUUUAUCUCGUUUGCUUUGGCUGAUCAUCUUUUUGGUAUAUUAAUCUUCACCCUCAAAUACAUCCCCUCCCCUCUCAGCCGUCUUAGCUCAGAAUCCUCAACCGUAAGCUCCGCCAGUGACGGAGCUCUAACUCUCCUCUUCUUCAACGCCACAACUCCAUCUCCUUCAAUCCUCUCCGCCGCAUGUUCCUCCUCGUUCUUCUUCUCCCAUGGCAAUAACACAUCAUCAUCCUCAACUUCACUCUCUUCUUCUCCCUCAGCAAGGAUCACAUCAGGCUUCACCCACUCUCUCUUCAACAAAUCACCCAAUCUCUCUUCUCCCGUCACCGCCUUCACAUCCCCACCGUUAUCUUCUGCAUCCUCCUCCUCGUCAGAAGCUAAUCCUAGGUUCCGUAGACGAAGCACGAUCUUCUCAAUCGCGCUUUGUCCUCUAUCCUUCUCCACAUACCUGAGUUUCGCCUCCGCCGAAGGGAUUUCACCUCCGCCGUUAUGUUCGUUCGAUUUCUUCGCGGCGGAUGACAACGGAGGCCACUUAUCGAUCCAAGGAGGAUUAGGUUUAGAAUUCCGGUGAUCCAAUCGCCGGUUGUUACGGCUCCCGUUGUUGCUGCUACGCUCGCUCGUGCGGAGCGAAGAGAAUGGCCGAAGAACGCGACGCGAGGGCUUCGCCGCGGAGAGUGA
rnacentral:lncRNA from 1 species